UACCAGUCAUAAGAGUCACUGCUUUGAAAGAGCAAUGCCGAUGUUCCCUGCCUUUAUCUGGUUUGUUGUUUGUGCUGAAUUGUGGAAAGGAGUCUUCAGAAAGUCCCUUGUCAGAAAGGUUGUGAUGAUAUGAGGGACUUGGCAGUCUUACACUGGAAGCAAGAUAAUUGAUUCGAGUUUGCUAUGACACUGAAACUUGUUACAACAAGCACUCCGCCCUCUUCAAGAGCAGAGCAAGAUCAGCCCAGGCACGUUCCCAGAAGAGUAACAAUCCAAAGUUUACACUUCCAGUGAAAUGCUGGAAACAGAAAGGGAGGUGAGCAGGAGCUGUGAUGGAGUAAAGCAUGGUGAGCAGGGCCCUGAGUUAGGAGCCUCAGCACCUUGUGAGAGAUUUCUCAGCUCCAAGGAAAACCAUCUAUUUCCACCCAUCCUACCCUCUGGGCAAGCUUUGACUGCAUCCUGGAAACUGGAGCUCUGUGUCCAUACAGUGGUCUAGAAAUCUUCCCAGAACGUGCCCAGCACCUGACCUUGCCGGUGACAUGAAGAGUCAUCUGGUGAUAUCAAUACAGAGAGUGUAUUAACCACCCCUUCUGAAAGGUCUUUACCCUAACUUUUGUCAGGAUAUGCUUGGAGAGAGACACCACAUCUGGUGGAAGCUGUAACUGAAGAAGAGGACGAGGCAUUACCUGAAUACAAAAGUGACUGUCUGGAGUCACCCAAUCAGCCCUGUGACUGCUGCUGCCUGUCAGGCACAAGAACUCCCCAGGGACUGGCUUUGAACUCUGAUACUUGGAUUAUUUAUUUUCUUUUGCUCUGACAUAUUUGUCAAUUCCUGCUUCACAGUGUUUUAUGCUACAUUAUGCUUUAAUAUGCUGUCCAAUGCCAUGCCCAACUUCUUAUCUUUAUACAAGCAAUGGAAAGAAUGAAACCACUAUUUAAGUGGAAAAGACAAGCCUAAGAAGACAAACAAGGAGUGUGCUGAGGUGUCAUUCAAAGAAGCUAAAUUCAUGUUUAUAACCUUUGCUGGUUUGCUGCCUGCUCUCACAUCCUGUAACUCACUUAACCAGGUGCUUGUCUCUUUUAUCUUCGCACCUCCACAGACCUCAGAAGCAACCAAAUCCACAAGGGCAGAUCCUUACGGUCAGAUGGAAUCCCAUGGAUAUAAAUUAAAAAGGUUGCUCUUUGCACAGAAGACUUCUGAGCAAACCAUGAGAUACCUUGUGAUAACCUUCAUCUACAUUACAAAGCUCUGGGGUUUGCUUUUAUUCUCCACAUUAAACUCAAGACUUAAGAAACGACCAAGAAGAGAGAAAAAAAAAUCCAGUAAAUUCUGUGCAAGGUGGCUGAAGCUGCAGAUUUUUAAGGAACCCUAAAGCUACAGUAAUGUUGCAGUCAUUACCUGAAGACUACUUUUACAAUGUGUACAUCAUGGCAUCAAUUUGAGGAUAAUGCUGGGCAGCAGCCUCAAUUUCCCCCAGCUUGUAUUACCAUUGCCUUGCUUUAGCAUAAAGCAUAAACAGGACUGUCUUGUGGUAACUGCAUCCCUUACACAACAAGAAAGAACAGAACAAUGUAAAAUUCACAGCAGAUGCAAAAUCAGGCCCUCCCCAAGCUGUGCAUUUGCUGAGAAGCAGCAGUCCUGGAAGAGUCCCUUUAUGUCACUGCAUGGCUCCGAGAGCUCUCCCAUCGUUCAUGGUUAUCACAGGGAACAUCAGCUGGCUUUCGUGGCUGCAGAUGAAGUAAUGCAAUAUGGCCCAGAGGAAAAAUGGCAUGUUAUUUAUUUUUCACCUAGGGUGCUGAGACAUUUCAAGAAAGGCAAAGGAAGCACCGACAAAUCUGCUCCCCAAAAAGUGUUUUUCAAAGCUUCACCUGCUCAUUGUUGGCCAAGAACAAGUGAGCCUUUAAGUAGCAAAAGGCUCUAUCACCAUUACUACUUUUUUUUUUUUUUUUUUUUUUUCCUUGUUCAGAAAUAACAGCUAAAGUUAAAUCCUGCAUCUUUUGUUAGAGAAAAACCUGGUAAUGUGCUCUCUUAUCUUUGCAUAAUAUAUUUCUUUUCAUUUCUUCCUGAAAAUAUCUUCAUGACAAAAGUUUGACAUGCCAUAAUAAACUUAUUUAAAGUUUCCUCUAACUUACUCCCAAGCAGGUGGCCCUUAUAUCUACCUCAAGCAUUUACACUGCUUGUAACACUUAUUUUGGGUACUACAACACUGAGUUCCUAUGAAUUUAUGAAAGUAUAAUUUGCUCCUAUUGCUAUUUUUAAACCCAAAUUAAUUCAUUUCCCGACAGGUUUCUACCUUUUUAAUUUUUCCCUACAAUUCUGCCUAAGACACACUUCCAAGAAACACUUUUAAGAAUCACUCAAACAUUUGUGCACAUGAGGACCUUUAUGGGGCAUACAAAAUUUCCUUUUUUGCUUUUGUUUUUGUCGAUGUGACAAUUUCUGCUUGCAUGUCCACAGGAAAUACAGGUUUUUCUUUCCUAACGGGAAGAUAAUAAACACACCUAGGGCACUUUGCAGGGGCUAACACUAGUAGUUCCCCAUCCAGCAUUCAGAUGCAAAUAAAGACAAAUUGGCCUUUAGAUUGUAUUUUUUUUUUUUUUCCAGUUUUCUGCCUCUUUUUGGGUGAAGCGAAAUCUUCUGUGCUUGGAAGAAGUCAGUGACCAGAAACCUCAGUGAGGGAAUGUAAAAUAAAGCACCAAAUGCAGGCUGAGUUCCUGAGCUGAGUGAAUUAACAAGAAAUAAUCAACACUGGAUGAACAACUAACUACAAACAUUUGGACAGAGCCACCUUUUCCAAGUUGCUUGUUUUUGCUGCUUUUAUUGCAGAUUCCCCAAGUGAUAAAUAUUGGAUCUGCCAUUUCCUUGAGGCCUUUAACUCACUCUUUUUAAGAUAGGAAUGUCUCUCCUUGCUCUCUUUCCUAUCACCAGCACAUGCAUCUACCUGUAAACCAUCCCCACCUUCUGCAUCAUUCUCCCAUCUGCCUUCUGCUUUUGCAGGGCACCAGAGAGCACCACCACUGCCCCAAACUCAACUUAAACACCCAGCAACAGAUUAGAACAAAUUUGCACUCAGAUUGAAAUCACUCUGUAGAAGAAAAAAACCCCAAAACUCAUAUUCAGCUUUGCGUAGAUGAUUUUUAAAUAAUAUUCAUUAUGUCUGUCUAUCCAUCUGCCCAAGCAGCCGAUGAAGUUUGCAUUUAAUUUACUCUUAGGCUGACAAAUGUUAUAGAAGACAAACUUGUACAAGGUAAGAUAGGUGAGGACUGAAGAGUCUCAAGGUUACUCUAAAAAGAAAUGUCAGGAAUGAUGUGUUCUAAUUCCUUUUGCAGAGCUAGAAAAGUAAUUUUAAAACCUGCCUUUCUAUUUCAUGUUGAGCUCGUAUUUGGAAGUUUCAUCUUUGGGAAACAAUUUGACUCAGUGCUGAUGCUUACAUUUACAAAAGAUUCUGAUAUUAGGAAAGACAAAAGAGGAUACAAAACCAGAGAUAGGUUUGAAUGAGAUGCAGGUUCUAAAGCACAGUGCCUGUAAGCCAAGUGCCUCAUGUAUCAAAUCUCUUUCAGGAGGUUGUUCAAUCACCACUGUAGCUUUGUUACUGAAUUUAUAUCCCAGAAUUAGAGCUGGAAGGGACCCCAGAAGGCCAGCUUGUCUCUUCCCUCACUCCAGGGCACAUCAGCCACUCACCAAACUUACUCAUCAGU